GCCUACACUUACAAGUCGAACGGAUCCUUCGGGAUUUAUGGCGGACGGGUGAGUACGAGAACGUGCCCUUUGGUUCGGAACAACUCAGUGAAACUUGAGCUAAUACCGGAUGAUAUCGCAAGAUCAAAGAUUUAUCUGCCAUAUGGAGCCUGCCCGCGAUCUGAUUAGCUAGAUUGGUGGGGUAAAGGCCCACCAAUAGCGACAGACUCAGUAAGCUGUGUCUAGAAGAAGGAAUGACUCAUGUCCACAUUUGUGGGACUUGAUGACACUGGAUCCAAUACGUCCCUACGUGGGAGUGCACGCACGAUGGGGGGAAAUCUUUGCCGCCACUUGGGCGGAACAAGCCCUUGACCGCCAGCCAUGCCCGUGCUGAAUGACUGAAGGUCUUACAGACUGAAAAAAUCUCUCCACCGUAGGGACCGAUACAU
rnacentral:rRNA from 1 species